UUAGGAAUUUUGCGCAAUGGCCGAAAGGCUGACGCAGCAACGCCGCGUGAGGGAUGAAGGCUUUCGGGUCGUAAACCUCUUUUAGCAGGAACGAAACAAAUGACGGUACCUGCAGAAAAAGCACCGGCUAACUCUGUGCCAGCAGCCGCGGUAAUACAGAGGGUGCAAGCGUUAUUCGGAUUUAUUGGGCGUAAAGAGCGUGUAGGCUGUUUACUAAGUUUGGUGUGAAAUCCCUGGGCUCAAUCCAGGAAGUGCAUUGAAUACUGGUAGACUAGAGUAUAGGAGAGGUCAGCGGAAUUCCCGGUGUAGAGGUGAAAUUCGUAGAUAUCGGGAGGAACAACAGUGGCGAAGGCGGCUGACUGGACUAUUACUGACGCUAAGGCGCGAAAGCGUGGGGAGCAAACAG
rnacentral:rRNA from 1 species